rnacentral:rRNA from 1 species
GACGAACCGUGCAAACGUUGUUCGGAAUCACUGGGCGUAAAGGGUGCGUAGGCGGGUCUUUAAGUCAGGGGUGAAAUCCUGGAGCUCAACUCCAGAACUGCCUUUGAUACUGAGGAUCUUGAGUUCGGGAGAGGUGAGUGGAACUGCGAGUGUAGAGGUGAAAUUCGUAGAUAUUCGCAAGAACACCAGUGGCGAAGGCGGCUCACUGGCCCGAUACUGACGCUGAGGCACGAAAGCGUGGGGAGCAAACAGG